CCUACGGGAGGCAGCAGUGAGGAAUAUUGGUCAAUGGGCGGAAGCCUGAACCAGCCAAGUAGCGUGCAGGAUGACGGCCCUACGGGUUGUAAACUGCUUUUAUACGGGAAUAACGCGCCUUACGUGUAGGGCUUUGCAUGUACCGUAUGAAUAAGGACCGGCUAAUUCCGUGCCAGCAGCCGCGGUAUUACGGAAGGUCCGGGCGUUAUCCGGAUUUUUUGGGUUUAAAGGGAGCGUCGGCCGCAUGUCAAGCGUGCUGUGAAAUGUCCGGGCUCAACCGGGGCCGUGCAGUGGGUACUGGCGUGCUGGAGUCCGCGGAAAGCAGGCGGAAUGUGUCGUGUAGCGGUGAAAUGCUUAGAUAUGACGAAGAACCCCGAUUGCGAAGGCAGCUUGCUGCAGCGGAACUGACGCUGAUGCUCGAAAGCGCGGGUAUCGAACAGGAUUAGAUACCCUUGUAGUC
rnacentral:rRNA from 1 species